GGGUGGGGAUGCAGGAAUGCGGACCCCGAGUGUCACAGCACCGGGGGCUUUGGGCGCUGUGUUCCUGUCAGGGUCCCAGUGGAGCGUCCCUAACAGAGCGCUCCCAACAGGUCCCCCCCAGCAGGGCGUCCCCAGUGCAGUGACCCCGACGGGGCGUCCCGGGGGGGUCCACAUUGGACUGUCCCCUUGGAUUGUCCCCAUUGCACUGUCCCCAAUGGACCGUCCCCAGCGGAUCGUCCCCAGAACAGUGACCCAACGGGGUGCCCCCAGUGCGGUGUCCCACGCGGUGACCCAGCAGAGCCCCCCAGCGUGUCGCCCCCAGCGCAGCGUCCCGGGCGCAGCGACCCCAGCCGGGUGACCCCCGACCCGGCGACCCCGGCGGGCCGCCCCCGUUGUUUCGCCCCGGUCGNNNNNNNNNNNCCCCCCCCCCCGUUCGCCCCCCGCAGGAACCCCGCCGCCGCCGCCCCCCGCCGGGUUCUGCUGCAGCUGCCGCGCGACCGGCGCCGCUCCGCACCCCCGGGAUCCGCCGAGCCGCAGCCCCGCACCGCAGCCCCGCGGCGCGGCCGUCGACCGCCGGCGCCCGCCGCCUCCGGACGGUUCGGAGCCCCCCGGCGUGGCCGAGGCGCUGGGCUCCGUGCUGGCGUCGUGUCACAUCGGCGGCGCCGCGCCGGACUCCGCCAUCGACCGCUCCUUCAUCGCCGCCGGGUUGGCCGCGCGGACGCUGGAGAAAUUCCUGAGCCACCGCCCGGCGCGAGCGCCGAGCCCGGCCGGCACCGACACCGACAGCGGCACCGGCAGCGGCACCGACACCGGCGGCAGCGGCAGCGACGGCGACGGCGAGGCGGGCGGGCUGCGCGGCCGGCACGGAGCGGGGCCGAGCGACGGAGCUCCGGGGUCGCGGGGCCGGGGGGCGGCGUGGCGCGCCGUGCGGAGCUGCUGCGCCGCCGUCGAGGUGCUGAGCGGCGCCGAGCGCCGGGAGCAACGCCGGGACGACGAGAUCCGCGCCGAGCACGGAGGGCUCCGAGCGUCGCCGAGCCGCGGUAACGCGGUGCAGGGCUGCCGGGCCCGGCCGGAGCGGCGGGACGAACGGCAUCGCCGCGGGUACCGGGACGGCACCGAGCCCUGCGCCUGCUGCACGGCCGAAGGCGGAGGAGCGCCGCACCGCGAGGGACGGCAGAGACCCCCGGCGCUGCCGUGCCACGCCGCCCCCCCGCAGCCCCCCGCGCACCCGCACGGCUGCGCCUGCAUCGCCCCGCGGCGCCACCGCGAGCGGCGCGUCGUCGCCACCGGGAGCACCGAGAGCGCGGAGAUGGGGGGCGGCGUUCGGACCCCCCCGGAGCGCCGCCUCCAGCCCCACCACCGGGAGCCCCCCCGGCAGAGCCGCCACGGCCCCCCCCUUCGCUGCCAGGAGAUGAACGCGGUGCAGCUCAUCACCAAAAGCUUCGAGCUGCGGGCGCAGCGCGACGCCGCCCGCGCCGAGAGAGACGGGCAGCGCUGUGCCCCCCCCGGGGGGGGGGGAAGGUUCUGCUGCUGCUGCUGCUGCUGCUGCGCUGGGGGGCACCGGGGGGGGGGGC
rnacentral:lncRNA from 1 species